rnacentral:rRNA from 1 species
GCUGAAAGCAUCUAAGCAUGAAGCCCCCCUCGAGAUGAGAUUUCCCAUCACGCAAGUGAGUAAGAUCCCUUGGAGAUGACAAGGUAGAUAGGUCUGAGGUGGACGUGCGGCGACGCAUGCAGCUGACAGAUACUAAUCGAUCGAGGACUUAUCCAA